rfam:Pan troglodytes isolate Yerkes chimp pedigree #C0471 (Clint) chromosome 1, whole genome shotgun sequence.
GCCGGGUAUGAUGGUGCAUACCUGUAAUCCCAGCUAUUUGGGAGGCUGAGGCAGGAGAAUCGCUUGAACCUGGGAGCUGGAGGUUGCAGUGAGCCGAGAUCGCGCCACUGCACUCCAGCCUGGGUGACAAAGUGAGACCCUGUCUCAA